rnacentral:rRNA from 1 species
GAUGAACGCUGGCGGCGUGCCUAAUACAUGCAAGUCGAGCGAACAGACCAGGUGCUUUCUCCUCUGACGUUAUCGCCCGACGGGUGAUUAACACGUGGUUAACCUACCUAUCAGACUGGGAUAACUUCGCGAAAUCGUAUCUAAUACCGGAUAAUAUAUUGACUCUCAUGGUUCAAUAGUUAAAGACGCUUUUUCUUUCACUUAUAGAUGGAUCCGCGCCGCAUUAGCUAGUUGGUAAGGUAACGGCUUACCAAGGCAACGAUGCGUACCCGACCUGAGAGGGUGAUCGGCCACCCUGGAACUGAGACACGGUCCAGACACCUGCAGGAGGCAACAGUAGGGAAUCUUACGCGAUGGGCGAGAGCCUGACGGAGCAACACCGCGUAAGUGAUGAAGGUCUACGGAUCGGAGAACGAUGUUAUUAGGGAAGAACAAAUGUGUAAGUAACUAUGAACGUCUUGACGGUACCGAAAGAAAAAGCCACGGCUAACUACGUG